AGUGAACGCUGGCGGUAGGCCUAACACAUGCAAGUCGAACGGCAGCACAGUAAGAGCUUGCUCUUACGGGUGGCGAGUGGCGGACGGGUGAGGAAUACAUCGGAAUCUACUUUUUCGUGGGGGAUAACGUAGGGAAACUUACGCUAAUACCGCAUACGACCUACGGGUGAAAGCAGGGGAUCUUCGGACCUUGCGCGAUUGAAUGAGCCGGUGUCGGAUUAGCUAGUUGGCGGGGUAAAGGCCCACCAAGGCGACGAUCCGUAGCCGGUCUGAGAGGAUGGUCAGCCACACUGGAACUGAGACACGGUCCAGACUCCUACGGGAGGCAGCAGUGGGGAAUAGUGGACAAUGGGCGCAAGCCUGAUCCAGCCAGACCGCGUGGGUGAAGAAGGCCUUCGGGUUGUAAAGCCCUUUUGUUGGGAAAGAAAAGCAGCAGGUUAAUACCCCGCUGUUCUGACGGUACCCAAAGAAUAAGCACCGGCUAACUUCGUG
rnacentral:rRNA from 1 species